UAUGAAUGGUGUCACGAGGGUCUCACUGUCUUAAGGAAAUUUCCAGUGAAAUUGAAUUUGUAGUGAAGAUGCUACAUCCAAAUUGUUAGACAAGAAGACCCCAUGAAACUUUACUGGAAACUUAUGUGGCUGACUUAAAUAGUUUAAAAAUGUGGUGCGGGUCAACUAAGGCUAGAAAAGCGCACUUUUUUAUUUGAAGAAAGGCAACUCACGAACUUAUGUUUUUGGGGUUUGAUAAGUGGGACAGUUUGGUUGGGGCAACCGCCUUUAAAAAAGUAACGAAGGCGGGCUUAAGAUACAUAUUCAAUUGUGUCUGACUGCCAGGGGGAGACCCAGAGCAGACACUUAUCUUUAGAUGGUGGGUUUAAGUGACCCGUUAAUUUAAGGUGAAAUAGUUAACGAUAAACAGAUAAAAG
rnacentral:rRNA from 3 species